rnacentral:rRNA from 1 species
UACGUAGGGUGCGAGCGUUAAUCGGAAUUACUGGGCGUAAAGUGUGCGCAGGCGGCGCUGCAAGUCGAGUGUGAAAUCCCCGAGCUUAACUUGGGAAUUGCGCUCGAAACUACGGCGCUGGAGUAUGGCAGAGGAAGGUGGAAUUCCACGUGUAGCGGUGAAAUGCGUAGAGAUGUGGAGGAACACCGAUGGCGAAGGCAGCCUUCUGGGCCAAUACUGACGCUCAUGCACGAAAGCGUGGGGGGCAAACAGG